rnacentral:lncRNA from 1 species
GAUGUACUUGAUGUUAAUGGAAGAAACUUUGCACUUAUUGAUUGAUUUUGAAAUAAUGUGAUUUGAGAAAAAAUUUAGAGUGUUUUUUUUUUUUUUAAAAUGAGAAAAGAGAAGGGUUCUGGCGCAUUUUAGAACUAAUGUUGUCCGAAAUAUUUACAAAUAUUAUUUUCAAAAAAUUUUAACGUUAAAUCAAAAUUUU